UACGUAGGGUGCAAGCGUUGUCCGGAAUUAUUGGGCGUAAAGAGCUCGUAGGCGGUUUGUUGCGUCGGCUGUGAAAUCCCGAGGCUCAACCUCGGGUCUGCAGUCGAUACGAGCAAACUAGAGUGUUGCAGGGGAGACUGGAAUUCCUGGUGUAGCGGUGAAAUGCGCAGAUAUCAGGAGGAACACCGAUGGCGAAGGCAGGUCUCUGGGCCAUAACUGACGCUGAGAAGCGAAAAGCCAUGGGGGAGCGAAACAGG
rnacentral:rRNA from 1 species